rnacentral:rRNA from 1 species
UAGGGAAUCUUCGGCAAUGGGGGGAACCCUGACCGAGCAACGCCGCGUGAGUGAAGAAGGUUUUCGGAUCGUAAAGCUCUGUUGUUAAGGAAGAACGAGUGUGAGAAUGGAAAGUUCAUACUGUGACGGUACUUAACCAGAAAGGGACGGCUAACUACGUGCCAGCAGCCGCGGUAAUACGUAGGUCCCGAGCGUUGUCCGGAUUUAUUGGGCGUAAAGCGAGCGCAGGCGGUUAGAUAAGUCUGAAGUUAAAGGCAGUGGCUCAACCAUUGUAGGCUUUGGAAACUGUUUAACUGGAGUGCAGAAGGGGAGAGUGGAAUUCCUUGUGUAGCGGUGAAAUGCGUAGAUAUAUGGAGGAACACCGGUGGCGAAAGCGACUCUCUGGUCUGUAACUGACGCUGAGGCUCGAAAGCGUGGGGAGCGAACAGG